GAUGAACGCUAGCGACAGGCUUAACACAUGCAAGUCGAGGGGCAGCGGGGUGUGGCAACACACUGCCGGCGACCGGCGCACGGGUGAGUAACACGUAUGCAACCUGCCCUAUGCAGGGGGAUAACCGGAAGAAAUUCCGACUAAUACCGCAUAACACCUUUCGGGAGACAUCUCCUGAAGGUCAAAGGAAGCGAUUCCGGCAUAGGAUGGGCAUGCGGCGCAUUAGCUAGUUGGCGGGGCAACGGCCCACCAAGGCGACGAUGCGUAGGGGUUCUGAGAGGAAGGUCCCCCACAUUGGUACUGAGACACGGACCAAACUCCUACGGGAGGAAGCAGUGAGGAAUAUUGGUCAAUGGGCGGAAGCCUGAACCAGCCAAGUCGCGUGAGGGAAGACGGUCCUAUGGAUUGUAAACCUCUUUUGUCGGGGAGCAAAGCCGCUCACGUGUGAGCGGAAGGAGAGUACCCGAAGAAAAAGCACCGGCUAACUACGUGCCAGCCGCCGCAGUAAGAC
rnacentral:rRNA from 1 species